rnacentral:rRNA from 1 species
AGAGUUUGAUCCUGGCUCAGAACGAACGCUGGCGGCGCGCCUAAUACAUGCAAGUCGAGCGAGAAGACGUAGCAAUACGUUUGUAAAGCGGCGAACGGGUGAGGAAUACAUGGGUAACCUACCCUAGAGUGGGGAAUAACUAGCCGAAAGGUUAGCUAAUACCGCGUACGCUUCUUGGACUUCGGUUCAAGGAGGAAAGCGAUACCGAGGGUAUCGCGCUCUUGGAUAGGCUCAUGUCCUAUCAGCUUGUUGGUGAGGUAACGGCUCACCAAGGCUUCGACGGGUAGCUGGUCUGAGAGGACGAUCAGCCACACUGGCACUGCGACACGGGCCAGACUCCUACGGGAGGCAGCAGUAAGGAAUAUUGCGCAAUGGGCGAAAGCCUGACGCAGCGACGCCGCGUGGGGGAUGAAGGUCUUCGGAUUGUAAACCCCUUUCGGGAGGGAAGAUGGAAUGGGGUAACCCAUUCGGACGGUACCUCCAGAAGCAGCCACGGCUAACUUCGUGCCAGCAGCCGCGGUA